UUGCUAGGGCUUAUUAUAUAGUCUAUUGUGAAACUAGGCAAAUAUCUAGAUAAGUUGAUGUACCCCCUGGAAGACCUCUGCAUAUCCCCAGGGAUAUGUAUACCCCUGGUUGAGAACCACUGCCUAUAGUGUGGGGGAUAUUUGCAGCUGGGGGUUGGGCCUCUGGCAACAAGGUGGGUUCUGUUUUUAUUCAUUUCCCUUUUCACACUGAGAUUUGCCUGGGAUCAGAGUGCCUGGAGUGAUAUGGCAACCGCAGGGACCCUCCUGCUUGACUCAGCCAGAAAACCAUCCCCACUGGAAUCUAGGGAGGAAGGCGGGGUCAAGCACAUGGAGGGUACCAUGAUGCUCUUGGGGAACAUUUGCCUGUGCGUGGGCCUUGUCUGUGAACUGUCCCAGAGCGAUCCUGCCCAGGGGCUACUCAAGGUAUUAUAGUGGCUGGGAUUUCUCUGGAGCGCCUAGGGAAGAUGGGGAGAGAGGAGAGAAAACGUGGGCUGACUGGGUGGAGAUUUUUGGCUCAGUGCAAGUUGAUGAAGUUUUUGUGCUGUUGCCAUUUGUCCCUGCCCUGAGCCCUCCAUCCUUCUUGUUCUAAGUGAAUUUUCCCAUCAUGCACCACUAGGGACCCUGGGUUCUAGCCAAUAUCCCCCCCGCCCGUCAUCUGCUGGGAGGCACAUGUAGGAUAUUCCCCUGGUUACCUUGCCACCCUCUCCCUGUAAUUGCAGAAACAGACAGAAGCUAAGAGGCAGAAAAUCAUCCAGGAGUGAAAGAAGCUAUGUGGGUUUCUGCAGGAGCAGCUUCCUGCUGUCCUAGCUGAAAGAACUAGACGGAAUCAUUGUCAAGAGAGGGGAUGAGAGGAUCUCUGAACUAUCCCUGGAGAUUUCCCUGCUCAGUGAACUGCUCAGUGAAAUGGGAGGAGAGAAUGGAUAGGAACCACUGCGCCAAUCUGUAUAGGAUUUCUUCUUCACAAAUCUGAUAUGAUCUCCAAGAUGGAACAAGGGGAAAUGCUGUGGGUCCCAGAUCACCAGGGCUUCAAGGAGAGGGAGAUCUUGAGAGGUACCUGUGCAGAUGAGGAGUCCUUUAAACUGACUCAGAAACAAUUCUUGAAUGAUGGAAACAGCUUGGGAUUUCCAAAAACGCCAAGUUAGCUGCCCCACUUCUGGAUUGUACCCAGCAGGUGUGGUAUCCUCAUGGCAGACAUCACUUAUGUCUCCACACCCACCAUCGCUGACACCUGGCAGUACAUCCCUUCCACCUGAGAUAGGAUGUGGAGGUUCCAUCCUCUCUAUUCUCUGGAAAAAAAUUAUGGAGAUUGAUUUUUUUUUGAUCUCCCAACAGUUCAUUUCAUUUGUGUCUCCCCGCCACAUGCACCACCCGUUUGCUCUGCCCGUUUCUGAGGUUUCCCUUCCUCCCUUUUCCCACCCUCCUGGCACAGGGAAUGACUCAUGUCUGGAUUCUCUUUCUAUCCCAGCUGGUGAUGGGACGAUGAGAAAGUACGAGGAGGAGAAUCCCCAGCAGGAAGGUCCUGAGCAAGUGGAACAACACUGGACAUUACAGAAGAUCUCAAGGGAAAGUCCUCGAGUCCUGAGCAGGAAGCAGCUUGUGAGAAUGAGCACAGGCCAGAGAACCAUCAGGGUAACUUCCCAGGGAAGGAAGUAAAUAAAUCAGUUCAUUAUGGGGAAUGUUGCAAGGACCUUGAGAGAACAACAGUCCAGCAAAGAAUCUCCAUGGGAGAGAGAAAAACCACAUGCACCAAGUGCGGGAAAAGCUUCAAAUGGAGAUCAGACCUAACUAGACAUGAGAGAAUCCACACAGGAGAGAAACCCUAUAACUGUCCUGACUGUGGGAAAAGCUUCAGCGAUAGCUCAGCUCUUACUUUACAUCAGAAAACCCACACAGGAGAGAGACGGUAUAAGUGCCUCAACUGUGGGAAAAACUCCACUCGCAGCUCACACCUCACUGAACAUCAGAGAGUCCACAUAGGAGAGAAACCCUAUAAAUGUCCCGAACGUGGGAAAAGCUUCAGUGUGAACUCAGCCCUCAUUAGACAUCAGAGAGUGGACACAGGAGAAAAGCCUUAUAAAUGCCCUGACUGUGAGAAAAGCUUCAAUGUGAGUUCAUCCCUUAGUACACAUCGGAGAAUCCAUACGGGCAAGAAACCCUAUAGAUGCCCUGACUGCGGGAAAAGCUUCAAGGAAAGAUCAAGCCUUAUUAACCAUGAGAGAAUCCAUACAGGAGAGAGACCCUCUAAAUGCCUCAACUGUGGGAAAAGCUUCAAACAGAUCUCAGUCCUUCUUCUACAUCAGAGACUCCACACAGAAGAGAGACCCUAUAAAUGCCCUGAUUGUGGGAAAAACUUCCAUGUGAGCUCAGCCCUCAUUAGACAUUGGAGAAUUCACACAGAUCUGAGCUCUGGAUGAAGCAUUUCCCACAGAGGAGGCAUUCACAGGGUGUCUCUCUCUGAUAUUCUCCAGUGCUUAAUAAGGUUUGUACUGUGACUCAAACUUUUCCCACACUCUGUGCAUUUAUAUAAUCUGUUUCCUAUGUGUAGUUGCUGAUGUGUAGAAAUCUCUAACCUUUGAAUGAAACAUUUCCCACAGUCUAGGCAUUUGUAGGGUCACUUUCCCGUGUGUGUUUUCUGAUGUGUAAUAAGCUCUGAGCUCUGCAUGAAUCUUUUCCCAGAGUCACAACAUUUAUAGGGUCUCUCCCCAAUGCGUGUUCUCUAAUGUCUAAUCAGGUGUGAGCUCCAACUGAAGCUUUUCCCACAUUCAACACGGUUUUUCCCUCUUCUAUGCAGUUUCUCUGCUGGCCUGUUGUUUUCUUGCGGUUCAAGGAUCCUCCCCUACAAUGAAUUAAUUUACCCACUUUCUUCACUGAGUGCUUUCCCAGCUGUAUCUUUAAGCUGUGCUGGUUUCCCCAGACUUUUCCCAGUGCACAACUGCUGGGACACAGAGAGAAUUCAGACAUCAGUGUCAUGGAGUCCCUAGGCGAUGCUCUGGAACUGCUCCCUACCAAGCCAGUCAGGACUGUGGUGAGGUCUCCUCUCUGUGAGCAGACUGUCUUCAGGACACACAGCUCACACAGCUUCCACCUUCCUGGGUCUAACCUUGGUGACUC